CAUAGCGCGCCAGAAUCGCGUGAACGUCGGCAUUCUUCGCCUGCAACGGCGCAUUGGUCAGCGCGUCGCGAAGUGCCGGCCAGUCUUUCGAGGCAAUCAGUGCAUCCGCUGCACCCGCAUAAACCGCGUCAGCGCCACUCAUCGUCUGACCCGUCAGCGCGAAAUAGGUUCCGAUCUCGCCGGGCGAACGCGACAACAGCCACGUUCCG
rnacentral:misc_RNA from 1 species